ACUCCUACGGGAGGCAGCAGUGGGGAAUAUUGCACAAUGGGCGCAAGCCUGAUGCAGCCAUGCCGCGUGUAUGAAGAAGGCCUUCGGGUUGUAAAGUACUUUCAGCAGUGAGGAAGGUGGGGUAGUGUUAAUAGCAUACUCAUUUGUACGUUAGCUGCAGAAGAAGCACCGGCUAACUCCGUGCCAGCAGCCGCGGUAAGUACGGAGGGUGCGAGCGUUAAUCGGUAAUUACUGGGCGUAAGAGCAUGCAGGUGGUUUGUUAAGUUCAGAUGUGAAAGCCCGGGGCUCAACCUCGGAAUUGCAUUUGAAACUGGCAAACUAGAGUACUGUAGAGGGGGUAGGAAUUUCAGGUGUAGCGGUGAAAUGCGUAG
rnacentral:rRNA from 1 species